UCGCCUUUUGUUUGUUAAUUAACCUGUUGAACUAUACCUGCUCUGCACUGCGUCCUGCAUUUGGGUCCUAUAUCCUGCUCACCACACAACCCUGACAGAUGACUUUUUCAGAUGAUGACAUUCUUUCUCAUUUGGUGACAGCAGAUGUCCACAGAUGACGAGGAUGCAUUUACAAAUGGGAUGAAAAUCGACAUUGUGAUGGUGAAAGACAGAAGACUUGGUGGUCCUCGAGGAAGAAGUGAUCCCUUCGGAUCUGAAGGACGUCCCGAAUGCCGUUGCCAUACUGAUGGGCUUUCUUUUUGCUCUCAACAUAGACUAUCCAAGGGAACUGAGGUACAUCUUUGAAGUCAUCCCAAAAGGUCCUCAUGAACAUUGGUGGAGGACAGUGUUCCUCACUUGUGCAUGGUUUAAGAAAUAAACUGCAAAAAACCAUGUACGGUUGUGCUCUGAAGGUUUUGCACUUUAUGCCGAAGUAAAAUACUGUUAGUAGACAGUGUUGAAGCAUUCAGUACUGUCUCAGCAGUUUAACAGUAUUUAUUUUCAUUGCUUAAAUUCAUACACUUUGUUUUGUAUAGUGUUAUUGGCACACAAUGUAGAACAGUUGCAUCAUUUUGAGUUGUAUAGCAAACACCAUCAUUGUUUGGAAAUGGUUUUAUUGUCAAACUAAUAUUGUGUUACCAUUCAGUGUUUUCUAUUCUAUGCAGACUGCACACGUUUUUAUCUGUUCAUAUAUGGCUGAUGGCAUAGGGUAUGUUUCUGUGGCUGUUCACCGACUAGUUAUGGUCUUUAAAGGAUCAGUGUGUAGCAUUUUUGUGGCAACAGCAAUGUCAUUUCAAAUUUCAACUAUCUGCUCCCACUUCCACUCUAAGAUACCAGGAAUUUAUCUUCAGGAAAUUUGACACCUAACUAAAACAUAACUGUGAAUAUUGCGUAACAUUUCUACCAAUAGAUCCUAAACCCUGAACCUUCCGGUUGAAAAAGUGAUAGACUUUGGCCUCUGUUGUCAGAAGUAAAUGUCAUCUUUGAUCAAUAAAUGUUAAGGUGCAUGGAUA